rnacentral:lncRNA from 1 species
UUCCCUUAACUGAAAUGACCCCAGCAGAGCUAUUCACUAGAAGACAUCCUCCUUGAUUUCUUGGGGGGCCCAUAAGAUGACUGAAGUUGUAGAGAGAAUGCAAUGACUGGCAUAGGAAGACUCUGAG